UACAGAGGGGGCCAGCGUUAUCCGGAAUCAUUGGGCGUAAAGGGUGUGUAGGCGGUGCUAUUAGUCUUCAGUUAAAUUCUUCGGCUUAACCGGGGGCAUGCUGGGGAAACGGUAGCACUAGAGGAUGCGAGAGGUGAAUGGAACUCAUGGUGUAGGGGUGAAAUCCGUUGAUAUCAUGGGGAACACCAAAAGCGAAGGCAGUUCACUGGCGCAUUCCUGACGCUGAAACACUAAAGCGUGGGUAGCGAAUGGG
rnacentral:rRNA from 1 species